rnacentral:lncRNA from 1 species
GCCGUUGAUUUUGAGCCACUUCGAUCACUAGGCAAAUGAUAUCGAAAAAUCGCAAAAUUUAUUUUCUAGAUACUUCAAAUACUCUAGAUCAAGUCUAAUAGAGCCGAUCAUCGAUUCGAAAGUCCGAAUAUCGAAAACAACUUAGAAGCACGGAGCGCUUCGUGCUUCCAGAAGCAUACCAGACGCACUCACACACACACACACACACACACACACACACACAUAUAUAUAUAUAGUCCGGCCAGAAUACUAUCGAUAGCACCAAGCAUUUUGUGCUAUCAAGUUUUCCACCGUGAGAUUUAACCCUUUAACUAUUUUCACCCGUUAGAUUAUACUAUUAAACCAAUAACUCACUCAACCCUAAAGGGCCCACAUCAUCCUAACUAUACGAUUUUUAAUCCAAGAGUCGAAAACCUGAUAGCACUAAACGCUUGGUGCUAUUGAUAGUAUUCCAGCCUAGGUCUAUAUAUA